rnacentral:rRNA from 1 species
CGAAAACGAAUUCUCUCUUGAGUGGAUCCUGAGUACGACGGAGCACGUGAAAUUCCGUCGGAAUCUGGGAGGACCAUCUCCUAAGGCUAAAUACUCUCUAGUGACCGAUAGUGAACCAGUACCGUGAGGGAAAGGUGAAAAGUACCCCGGAAGGGGAGUGAAAGAGAACUUGAAACCGUGUGCUUACAAGUAGUCAGAGCCCGUUAAUGGGUGAUGGCGUGCCUUUUGUAG